rnacentral:rRNA from 1 species
UACGAAGGGGGCUAGCGUUGUUCGGAAUCACUGGGCGUAAAGCGCACGUAGGCGGACGUUUAAGUCAGGGGUGAAAUCCCAGGGCUCAACCCUGGAACUGCCCUUGAUACUGGACGUCUCGAGUCCGGGAGAGGUAAGUGGAAUUCCGAGUGUAGAGGUGAAAUUCGUAGAUAUUCGGAAGACCACCAGUGGCGAAGGCGACUUACUGGACACAUAUUGACGCUGAGGUGCGAAAGCGUGGGGAGCAAACAGG